ensembl:lncRNA
AAAAAAAAAAGUGCUCCUAGCUUUUCCUAUUUUUGGCUCCUCCUUCCUUUUUCUCCCACAUUUUUCCUCUAUAAAUAAUUUUUUUGUACUGACAUGUAAAAAGUUCCUGAAAUGUAAUAAUAAGAAGAAGAAGGAAAAAAAACCUAAAUAAUAAUAAUAAAAAAAAAGAAGUCAGCAAAUGCAGGAAUGUUGUUUCCUAAAGACUGAGAUUUCUUCCUUUGAGUUGAGGGAUUAGAAAAUGUCUUGUUUAAAAUGAUUUAAAUUACAAAGAAUAUAUUUUUUGGUUCAGACCGUACAUGGUCAUGGUUUUGUUUAAAAAAAAAAAAAAAAAAAAAGAACAAUUUUUUUGGUGUUUUUGUUUUCAGGGUUUUUUUUGGGGUAUGGUCUCAUGCCUGUUCUUUUUUUUAAAAGAAAAUUUACAAAGGUUCAUUAUAUUAUUCAUACAUUUUUAUUUUGUACCCUGUCUAACUUUAAAACAUUUGUGUUUAAAGACUGUAAAAAAUUAUUUGUCUGGGAAUUUGGGCAAUGUUUUCUCUGCUCUCAUCUUUCCUGACGAUUGUAUUCUAGUGUUGUACUGUUUCUGUUUUUGUUUUGUUUUGUUUUUUUUUUCUUUUUCUUUCCCUUUUUUUCCGUUCUUUCCAGAUCUACGUUUCGGAGGAUAACCCUCCUUUCCUCAUUGUGAAGUCUUUUUGAGGAGAACUACUUGUUUGUGUUGAUAGACAUAACUGGGCACACACACACACACACACACACACACACACACACACACACACACACACACAAAAGCUCAUCAGAAACACAGUACGGCAACAACCCUGAAUGGAUGUGCAAAACCAGAUGACAUCUCACUGGCCUGGACCCAGAAAUUUGUCUCACAGAUGUAGAAAAUUGUUGCUUUUUUUUGGAUUUUUUUGUUUGUUUUGUUUGUUUGGUUUUUUUGGUCCUAAUUUUGUGAUGCAGAUCUAUAAGUAUAAAGCGAGAGGUGAGGGAGCCCCCACCCUCCCCCCUUCCCAAGCUGAGUGGGUUUGGAAUGAGCGAUCACUGGUUGACUGCUUUUUGGGAACACUGAGAGUCCUGCUAUCGACCCUCAUUCCUCUCACACACAAACUUGAAUCGGGGCUCCACUUUUCCUCUUAAUGUAAAUCAUGCAAGUUAUUAAGCAAAGUACUAUAAAUAUAAGGAAGAGAAAAUGGAAUCACUGUAUAAACUGGUUAAAAAACUUAUUUCUUACUUAUAUACCAUAUUGUUAAAUAAACUGUGUGCAACAGAUCAAAUCCUUCUGGGUUUUUUUAUUUCUC